rnacentral:rRNA from 1 species
GAUGAACGCUAGCGACAGGCUUAACACAUGCAAGUCGAGGGGCAGCAGGGGAGUAGCAAUACUCCCGCUGGCGACCGGCGCACGGGUGAGUAACACGUAUGCAACCUGCCCUUGUCAGGGGGAUAAGCGGAAGAAAUUCCGUCUAAUACCGCAUAAUGCUGCGGGGAGACAUCUCCCUGCAGCCAAAGAUUUAUCGGACAAGGAUGGGCAUGCGGCGCAUUAGCUGGUUGGCGGGGUAACGGCCCACCAAGGCGACGAUGCGUAGGGGUUCUGAGAGGAAGGUCCCCCACACUGGUACUGAGACACGGACCAGACUCCUACGGGAGGCAGCAGUGAGGAAUAUUGGUCAAUGGCCGGGAGGCUGAACCAGCCAAGUCGCGUGAGGGAAGACGGUCCUAUGGAUUGUAAACCUCUUUUGUCAGGGAGCAAAAACUGCCACGCGUGGCAGGAUGAGAGUACCUGAAGAAAAAGCAUCGGCUAACUCCGUGCCAGCAGCCGCGGUAAUACGGAGGAUGCGAGCGUUAUCCGGAUUUAUUGGGUUUAAAGGGUGCGUAGGCGGACAGUUAAGUCAGCGGUAAAAUUGAGAGGCUCAACCUCUUCCCGCCGUUGAAACUGAUUGUCUUGAGUGGGCGAGAAGUAUGCGGAAUGCGUGGUGUAGCAGUGAAAUGCAUAGAUAUCACGCAGAACUCCGAUUGCGAAGGCAGCAUACCGGCGCCCAACUGACGCUGAAGCACGAAAGCGUGGGUAUCGAACAGGAUUAGAUACCCUGGUAGUCCACGCAGUAAACGAUGAAUACUAAUUGUUCGGGUCAAAUGAGAUCUGAGUGAUACAGCGAAAGCGUUAAGUAUUCCACCUGGGGAGUACGCCGGCAACGGUGAAACUCAAAGGAAUUGACGGGGGCCCGCACAAGCGGAGGAACAUGUGGUUUAAUUCGAUGAUACGCGAGGAACCUUACCCGGGCUCAAACGACACAGGAAUGAUCUGAGAAAUCAGGCAGUCCUCCGGGACCUGUGUCGAGGUGCUGCAUGGUUGUCGUCAGCUCGUGCCGUGAGGUGUCGGCUUAAGUGCCAUAACGAGCGCAACCCCCAUCGACAGUUGCCAGCAGGUGAAGCUGGGCACUCUGUCGAGACUGCCGGCGCAAGCUGUGAGGAAGGCGGGGGUGACGUCAAAUCAGCACGGCCCUUACGUCCGGGGCGACACACGUGUUACAAUGGCAGGUACAGCGGGAAGCCACCUGGCGACAGGGAGCGGAACCCGAAAGCCUGUCUCAGUUCGGAUUGGAGUCUGCAACUCGACUCCAUGAAGCUGGACUCGCUAGUAAUCGCGCAUCAGCCACGGCGCGGUGAAUACGUUCCCGGGCCU